rnacentral:rRNA from 1 species
UACGUAGGGUGCGAGCGUUAAUCGGAAUUACUGGGCGUAAAGUGUGCGCAGGCGGCCGCGCAAGUCGAGUGUGAAAGCCCCGGGCUUAACUUGGGAAUUGCGCUCGAAACUACGUGGCUGGAGUGUGGCAGAGGAAGGUGGAAUUCCUGGUGUAGCGGUGAAAUGCGCAGAUAUCAGGAGGAACACCGGUGGCGAAGGCGGAUCUCUGGGCCUUACCUGACGCUCAGGCACGAAAGCUAGGGGAGCGAACAGG